AGUGAACGCUGGCGGUAGGCCUAACACAUGCAAGUCGAACGGCAGCACAGGAGAGCUUGCUCUCUGGGUGGCGAGUGGCGGACGGGUGAGGAAUACAUCGGAAUCUACCUUUUCGUGGGGGAUAACGUAGGGAAACUUACGCUAAUACCGCAUACGACCUACGGGUGAAAGUGGGGGACCGCAAGGCCUCACGCGAUUAGAUGAGCCGAUGUCCGAUUAGCUAGUUGGCGGGGUAAUGGCCCACCAAGGCGACGAUCGGUAGCUGGUCUGAGAGGAUGGUCAGCCACACUGGAACUGAGACACGGUCCAGACUCCUACGGGAGGCAGCAGUGGGGAAUAUUGGACAAUGGGCGCAAGCCUGAUCCAGCCAUACCGCGUGGGUGAAGAAGGCCUUCGGGUUGUAAACCUCUUUCGUAGAGGAGGAAGGGGCCGUGCAGAGCGGUCCUUGACCUAUUCUAGGAAGAAGCUUGGGCUAAGUUCGUGCCAGCAGCCGCGGUAAUAC
rnacentral:rRNA from 1 species